ACGUGGACCCCUCUUUCCCUUCUUGUGAAAAUAAUUGACAUUAUUGAUAUUUCUUAGGUCUGAAUUCCUGCUCUGAAAAGGGGGAGGAGGAGGAAGAAACUUCGCCUGAUGAAGGGAGAAGAGCAGGUGGAGGAAAACUCAGCUGCAGGCAUAAAGAACGCGCCUGAUGGGCGUUUGCGCUGCCUCCCUUGGUUCUCCCGGCCUGAUGAGUUUUGGGGCUUGACUGGUCCUGGAGUAUUGCAGUUGCUCUGGCCAUUUCUCCGGCUCAUCCUUGAAACAGCCUGGAGAGAACUCCUGUUUGAAUUCCUGCUCUGAAAAGGAGGAGGAGGAGGAAGAAACUUCGCCUGAUGAAGGGAGAAGAGGAGGUGGAGGAAAACUCAGCUGCAGACAUGGAGGUAAAGGGGGAAAAAGAGAAAUAUAC